rnacentral:rRNA from 1 species
UACGAAGGGGGCUAGCGUUGCUCGGAAUGACUGGGCGUAAAGGGCGCGUAGGCGGAGUGCUUUGUCGGGCGUGAAAUUCCAGGGCUCAACCUUGGGGCUGCGUUCGAGACGGGCAUUCUAGAGUGGAGAAGAGGGUCGUGGAAUUCCCAGUGUAGAGGUGAAAUUCGUAGAUAUUGGGAAGAACACCGGUGGCGAAGGCGGCGACCUGGGCCAAUAUUGACGCUGAGGUGCGAAAGCGUGGGGAGCAAACAGG